rnacentral:lncRNA from 1 species
CCUCAGCUCCACCCUCACUAUAAAACUCCCUCAUUAUGUAACCAAAACUGUGAUCUUCAUUAUUAUAAUAAAAUGGAGAGUCAAUACUGUUGGGACAUAUUUUGUCUUUAAAAUAUAAUAAAACAAACAUGUGUAUGACUCCCAAGAUGUGGCCAAGAGUUACAGUGGUUCAUAUAAGACACUACUUGUGGUUCCUUUGAUGGCUGCUUAAACAUGUUUACAAUAAAACUUUAUAAUAUGUAAAUCAAUAUUUUAAGUCAUCUUCUAUACCAUUUUAUUAAUUAUUUCACUUACACAUUAUGUAUGGCUUUAUAAAUUAAUUAUAAGUUUAUAUUACAAAAAUGACCAAAUCUGCCGUAAGGAAUUAAUUACAUUAAAAUUUGUUCCGGUACAUGAAUUGUGUUUUACUGUGGGCAUGUACUGGCUCUCUGUUAUGUACUGUUGGUUAACUUAGUAAACAGAUUAAGGCAGUUAAGGAUUUAACCUUUGACGACCAGGCUUAUUAGCCGCUUAGGUAUGAAACUGCCGGAGAAAAGGUGGAGUACUUCCCCGCCAGGAGUACUGUCACCCUAUCUGGAGUACUAUCACCCCGUUUGGUCCCCGAGAUAUGCUAGGGACUGUCAGCUAAUUGAUGAUGUCCAAAGGAGAAAUUGGAGCGCCGUUAACUACCUAUUACUAAUGAGCGGGAACCACCCAGUAAGGUACGGUAACUAUCAUUAUUGUAGUCUGGGAAGUAAUUCGUCUAUAAUUUUCCACAUAAGGUUUUUUGAGAUUAAGGUUUAAUAAAUUUAGAAAGUAUUAUAUAAUUCUUAAAUAAAAGUAAAUGUUUUGGUUAUAUUAAAGUAUUUUUUAAUGAUAAACUUAAGUAAUUCUGUAGUGUUGGCAGCCCUGAUUCAACACAUGGCCGCUUCCGAAGCUGAAGAAAUUGGAGUACUGUACAGUAUUCUUAUUCUAUUUAUUUUUCCGCAAAGUUUUCCUUAUUGUUAAUUUUUUAUAUUACGAUAUAAAUUAAUUUAACUUAAAAUUUGUAUAAAAUUUUGUAUGUACGAUUAAGUUUGGAUUUAGUUUUUAAUAUUUUCUCAUUCGUAUACGGGUUGUUGCGGGCAGAGGAGUAAACAGAAGCGACUUAACACGUGGCGUCUCAGUAACUGUUGAGGCACGGAGGGAGGAGGUGCUGCUCGUCGUCUCUCUCACUUGACAGAUUCUGUACCUAAUAUAUAUAAUGAUGGAUCCAGUUGUUAUUGUUGUGUUAAAGGCCAGUUUGGUGCAUCAGUGGUCGUUAGCGUGGAUAGUACAGCACCUCCUUAUUUAUUGUGGAUGAUGACUUGAAGAUGGAGGAUGCAAGAAAUGAGGAGUACUAGAGUUCUUCUGGUGACCUGACUUGCUGCACCAGACACACUAGUCAGGUUAGGUACAGUACAGGGCAUCUCAUUGUGGUUUCUUCACAAAGUACAGUAAUUGUAACCCAUGGACUGCCUCGUCUAGUUAACUCUUCUAAGGGAUGAUGACUUAAAGAUGAAGGAUCCAACAAAUGACCCGAGAGUUUUAUGGUGAACCGACUCUUACUGCACGGCCCUGCGCCAGUCCAGGAAAUAUUAUUCUGGACUUUGUGGUUGGUGGUUACCACGAAGCUGGACUGCCUGCCCCUGCUGUCCUGGACUGACUGCCUGCUGCUGCCGCCCUGGACACUGUCCUGUCCUGGGCUUGCCACUGCUGCUGCCGCCCUGGACUGACUGACUGGCUGCUGCCGCCCUGGACACUGUCUUGUCCUGGACUGCCUGCUGAUGCUGCCACAGUCCUGGAUUGCCACCAUCCUGGACUGCCUGCUGCUGCUGUCCUCGACACUGUCAUGGACUGGCCACUGUUGCUGCCACCAUCCUGGACUGCCUGCUGCUGCCGCUGUCCUGGACACUGUCAUGGCCUGGCCACUGCUGCUGCUACCCUGGACUGCCCACUGCUGCCCUGUUAAAGAAAAAUUUGUAAUACCUUUAAGUUUCCAUUAAUAAAUGUUUAAAUGUCA